rnacentral:rRNA from 1 species
CCUACGGGGCGCAGCAGUGAGGAAUAUUGGUCAAUGGGCGGAAGCCUGAACCCGCCAAGUCGCGUGAGGGAUUAAGGCCCUGCGGGUCGUAAACCUCUUUUGCCGGGGAGCAGAGGUCCGGACGUGUCCGGGCCGGGAGAGUACCCGGAGAAAAAGCAUCGGCUAACUCCGUGCCAGCAGCCGCGGUAAUACGGGGGGUGCGAGCGUUAUCCGGAUUUAUUGGGUUUAAAGGGUGCGUAGGCGGGCAUUUAAGCCGGCGGUCAAAUGUCGGGCUCAACCCCGGCCUGCCGUCGGAACUGGGUGCCUUGAGUGGGCGAGAAGUAUGCGGAAUGCGUGGUGUAGCGGUGAAAUGCAUAGAUAUCACGCAGAACCCCGAUUGCGAAGGCAGCAUACCGGCGCCCUACUGACGCUGAGGCACGAAAGUGCGGGUAUCGAACAGGAUUAGAUACCCGAGUAGUC